GCCAUGGCUUGGUGGCAGAGCAACUGCUUUGUGUGGUGAAGGUCCCAGGUUCAAUCCCUGGUAUCUGCA